rnacentral:rRNA from 1 species
UAGGGAAUCUUCGGCAAUGGGGGGAACCCUGACCGAGCAACGCCGCGUGAGUGAAGAAGGUUUUCGGAUCGUAAAGCUCUGUUGUUAAGGAAGAACGAGUGUGAGAAUGGAAAGUUCAUGCUGUGACGGUACUUAACCAGAAAGGGACGGCUAACUACGUGCCAGCAGCCGCGGUAAUACGUAGGUCCCGAGCGUUGUCCGGAUUUAUUGGGCGUAAAGCGAGCGCAGGCGGUCAAUUAAGUCUGAUGUGAAGCCCCCGGCUCAACCGGGGAGGGUCAUUGGAAACUGGUUGACUUGAGUGCAGAAGAGGAGAGUGGAAUUCCAUGAGUAACGGUGAAAUGCGUAGAUAUAUGGAGGAACACCAGUGGCGAAGGCGACUCUCUGGUCUGUAACUGACGCUGAGGCUCGAAAGCGUGGGUAGCAAACAGG